rnacentral:rRNA from 1 species
UUUAAAGUGGUACGUGAGCUGGGUUUAAAACGUCGUGAGACAGUUUGGUCCCUAUCUGCAGUGGGCGUUGGAAGUUUGACGGGGGCUGCUCCUAGUACGAGAGGACCGGAGUGGACGAACCUCUGGUGCAAUCCUUUACGCGCCAACGGCAGCAUUCCGCGCCCGGCUUAUCCCACGCUUUCUAUGGAGAAUGACGAGCAGGGUACGGUUGUUUUGAGCGU